rnacentral:piRNA from 1 species
UGAUGUGAUUAUUUCCUGGAA